UACGUAGGGUGCAAGCGUUGUCCGGAAUUAUUGGGCGUAAAGAGCUCGUAGGCGGUUUGUCGCGUCUGCUGUGAAAAUCCAGGGCUUAACCUUGGACCUGCAGUGGGUACGGGCAGACUGGAGUGCGGUAGGGGAGAUCGGAAUUCCUGGUGUAGCGGUGAAAUGCGCAGAUAUCAGGAGGAACACCGGUGGCGAAGGCGGAUCUCUGGGCCGUAACUGACGCUGAGGAGCGAAAGCAUGGGGAGCGAACAGG
rnacentral:rRNA from 1 species